rnacentral:rRNA from 1 species
AUGAACGCUGGCGGCGUGCCUAAUCCCUGCAAGUCGCGCGAACAGACGAGGAGCUUGCUCCUCUGACGUUAGCGGCGGACGGGUGAGUAACACGUGGAUAACCUACCUAUAAGACUGGGAUAACUUCGGGAAACCGGAGCUAAUACCGGAUAAUAUAUUGAACCGCAUGGUUCAAUAGUGAAAGACGGUUUUGCUGUCACUUAUAGAUGGAUCCGCGCCGCAUUAGCUAGUUGGUAAGGUAACGGCUUACCAAGGCGACGAUGCGUAGCCGACCUGAGAGGGUGAUCGGCCACACUGGAACUGAGACACGGUCCAGACUCCUACGGGAGGCAGCAGUAGGGAAUCUUCCGCAAUGGGCGAAAGCCUGACGGAGCAACGCCGCGUGAGUGAUGAAGGUCUUCGGAUCGUAAAACUCUGUUAUUAGGGAAGAACAAAUGUGUAAGUAACUAUGCACGUCUUGACGGUACCUAAGCAGAAAACCACGGCUAACUACGU